GAGGUCUGCCAAGAGUUGUAUCUAAACCAUCAUAACCACUGAAAAGAUUAAACAAUGUCUAAUACAUUCUGUAAACACCUUCUAGUUCACAUCUGCAUUGAUUUUUAUGAAUGUCAAUUAUCAAAGCCAUAUAAGUUAUACUGCUUUCAAUAUCAGCUAUUUAUGAGCAGUUGAGCACAGUAUUUCAAACUCUGUAGACCAUUAACAUGAA
rnacentral:misc_RNA from 1 species